AGGCUGCAACACCAAGGAGGAAGCACACUGAACUAACCCCUGCUGACCGAACACCAUCUCUGUCAAAGGCACCUCAUCAUCACCGAUACUCCAGCUGCCGCCAUAGCCAGGAGACUGUCCCAACUCUCAUAGACUGCGGCCCAUUCUCAGCUUCCAAGGACCGACACACCAUCCAAAUGAACUCUCCAGGAUCAAAGGAUCAUUCACUCUGCUGCCUUUGCAGAUGCCGCCAAAAAACCAAAGGAAAAGAACCGGCCCCAAUCCAUCAAUGCUGGAACAGUUGCUGAAACCAUUACUACCAUGGCCAUGAGGAAUGGACUGGAUCCACCAUUCAACAGCUCCCUGCAACCUCUCUCUAACACCGCCCCCGCAGAAAGAAGAAAAAAUGAAUUUGAUUCAAAAGUUAAAUGAAGAAAAAAGAAAGGAUGUAAUCGGUCAUAUGAGAGGGAGUGGAUGGGCCAAGAGACUGAAUACUCCUACCUUGAUGUCUCUGCCAUCUCAAAAGAGUGGGGAUUUCUUCGCAUUGAAACAACCCAGCUUCUAAAGCCAUCUGAGGAAGGUCUCGAGACUAUCGAAGGAGCCAAAGCCACCUUAUAUGUGGACCAAGAGCAAUUCUAUGAUUCUGCAAGGCCUGCCCAGUGCUAGGAUAACUGGAUGAACACUGCAGGCCAAGCAGCAUCAGAGGAGCAGGAAGGCUGACGUUUCGGGCCUAGACGCUUCUUCAGAAAACCAGUGCUCAGUGCUAUUUGCCUUACGGGUAAAAGUAGAGGCCGAAAUCCGGAGGCUGGAAAGUGAGGGAAUCAUCAAACUCCAGUACAGUUGGCACAAUCGGCUGCACUGGUCAUGCCAGUUGUGAAGCCUGACUGGUUAGUACGCCUGUGUGGGGAUUUUAAAGAAAUGGUAAACAACCUCUUGCAGCUGGAUAAAUACCCAAACCC